GUCCAAGGUGAUUCCCUCUCCGAGGGGCCUGCCCGUGCCCUCCUCCGGAAAGUAGCAGCUUGGGACAGGACGUGGCACGCCCGAGGCCGUGGCGGGCGGGGACGCUGGUGUCCUCUGCCUGCCUCCGGCUGCCCACACUU